UGUGUUUCUUGUCCUUGUAGUUUCUGCAGGACACCCUUGAUGCCCUGUUUAACAUUAUGAUGGAGAACUCAGACAGUGACACGUUUGACACCCUGGUGUUUGAUUCCUUGGUAUUCAUAAUUGGACUCAUUGCAGACAGAAAGUUUCAGCACUUUAACCCCGUCCUUGAGACCUACAUAAGGAAGCAUUUCAGUGCUACUCUGGCGUACACGAAGCUGACCAAGGUUUUGAAGAACUAUG